rnacentral:rRNA from 1 species
GGUUGCGAUCAUACCAGCACUAAUGCACCAGUUCCUAUCAGAACUCCGCAGUUAAGCGUGCUUGGGCGAGAGUAGUUCUAGGAUCGGUGCCCUGGGAAGUCCUUGCGUUACAACCC